rnacentral:misc_RNA from 1 species
UGUCGUGCCUUACGCCCACACGUGUGUCGCGCCCACGCAGUCUUCCUACACCUGUUUGCCCACACGCCCACACCCGCGACACACUCCCACUUCGAGACACUCCCACACACCCUCCUCGAGACACACCCACACACCCUCACCUAUGGUCCUCCAGCCUCUGGUCACACUCCGUCCUACACGUUACCCUCCACCGUAACUCUUCGUCCCGGGUGAAGGCUUUGGUGGUGUCGCGUUGUCCUGCCUCAAGGUGUGUCUGUCUGUGUGUUUAACUGAGACAUGACCAGUGAGGAAGAGGAGAGACGGUGAGGAUAGUAAAAUGAAGUAAGGAGUUUUGGCUGCUGGGGAGACUUGACCGCACGCGACCUGUAGUUGUAACAUAUGUUGAUGAGCGAAGUGCCGUUCACUGUUUCGUAAAGUGUAGCCUCGUUGUGACCCCCCACCACCGUGAUCACUUGGCUCACCUGUAGUGAUGUUUACCUGUAGUGUGGUGCAGGUGACAACUACAUUAUGGGUUUGGGGUGUGUUGGUUUAAGGUGGCACUCAGUUAUAUGUUUAUGUGGUAGAACCGCAGAGGAGGUGAUGUUGUAGUGGUCUGGGGGUCAGUUUAGGGCCAUGCUGGGUGUGGCCAACUCUCAGUAUGUCAGUGAAGAGGACAAAGUGACGGUGUACCUGGAAGAUGAUAGCCCUCCCCGUCCACCUCCCCGUCCACCGCGAUGGUUUCCCACCCUUGACCCGUCCCACCUGCCUCUUCCACCCUCCUCCUCCUCCACACUCCUCUACCCCGCACACCAGGAGGCAGAAGGUGAAAGUGUUGUCCUGCCACAGGGUGCACCUCGCUUCACCACCACAGGUUCCCUUCACUGCCACACCCAAGAUGGACGCUAUGGUUCUCAGUAUGACCUUGACCCCGUCGAACUUGACCAACAGUAUUAUAGGUCACACUGCGGGGAUGACACACAACUACAGUAUCUUGGUGACGGUGACUUUAGCAACAGUAGCGGCAUCUUCCCCCUGGAUGUGCAUGAUGAAAGGUUGUGUAUGGAUGACCACAUAUUGUAUGAGCCUGGCGUUGUGCAUCACCCAAGUGAGGCCACAACUCACCUCAGCCACACGCAGCAUCAGCACCUUGCUUACCCAGCCUAUGACAGUGUUGGGGUAGAGGUCGGGCUGUAUCCCACCUACGAGAAUGUGUAUGUGCAGGUGGGGGAGUACCUGGUGUCGAGGAGUGAGGCGACACACGCUCCGGUCAACAAGUACGCGGUGGAGGACGAGGCUCAGGUCUUACAUGAUGUACUGCCUUUCCUCGAUAACAUUGAUGAUGCGGAGAGCUUAUACCGCCAAGGUCAGUUCCCCCAAGAAACAUCAUUCUGGCUGCAUCAAGAGGCUGCAGUGCCUCUUAUGUUGCAACAGAAUGGGUUGGCAACAUCGGAUUUUGAGGGGAAUGGGAAUGAGCGCAACAGUGUGCAAGCUGUGGUGGAUGAAUCUCUAGCAGGACUGGACAACCCAGCGCUGGAACACUCGGAGGAGACUCAGGCCCACGUGGACCGGCUGGCCCUGGCUCUCGGUGACAACAUACGCUCACAGAUUGACAACACACUCGCCCGAAUUGACAACACCAGGACCAAGUUCAACCAACAGCGGCGACCCUUCAGCAAUGGAUGUGUCUCUACCACAGAUCCGGUUAUCAAAACACCGCUAUCAAUACACCGUAAGAGUGACGAGCGACACCUCUCGGAUAAUGACACCCUGCCUCGUGCAUUACACCAUCCGCUGUUGAGGGAGUCGCUGAGGGCUAAUGUGUUGUCAGUGACGGAUGGGUCCACGUUGGGUAAAUGUGAGGUGUCAGGCUUGAUGGCCAUGGAUAGUGAGGCUGACAGUGACAGUGUGGACAAUGGGCCAACAACAACAACAACAACAGGUGAAGGUGAGGCCCCACUGGCUCGUCAGGAGACCAUGAUGGAAAGUGUGAGGGAGUAUGACGACUUGAGCAUCACCACACUCCUCACCAUGGACACCACCACCCCUCACCACACACCACCACACAACUCUCUCCAGUCACUCAAGUCCCUACAGUCCCACAAGUCCCGGAGGUCGUGGGUGAGCGUCACCUUCCGGGGCUCCUCCGUCUCCUCCCCUGUCAUCUGCCUUGAUCACCACCACUCUACUGUCUCAGAUGACGACUCCGGUGGGGGUGGAAGUGACGGCGAAGGCGGCAUGGGCGGUGGCGUGGGUGGCGGUUUGGGCGGCAUGGGUGGCGGUGCGGGCGGGGUGGAGCACCGCACCGUGUAUCUCAACGAGCCUCAGCCCCACAAGUACUGCUCCAACGCCGUCUGCACCGCCAAGUACCGCUUCAAGCUUCUCUUCUUCCUUCCCAUGUUCCUCUUUGAGCAAUUCAGACGCUACGCUAACGUCUUCUUCUUGAUCAUAGCCCUUCUUCAGCAAAUCCCCGGAGUGUCACCAACGGGUCGAUAUACAACUCUGGUGCCGCUUAUAUGUAUUCUGGUUGUCUCGGCUAUCAAGGAGAUCGCUGAGGAUAUUAAACGUCACAGAGCAGAUGAUGAAUUGAAUAAACGGGAAAUUGAAGUGCUGAAAGAUGGACAGUGGCAAUGGAUUAAGUGGCGACACAUUCAAGUGGGGGACAUUGUCAAAGUACGCAACAACAAGUUUUUCCCCGCGGACCUUGUCAUAUUAGCAUCCAGUGAACCCCAGGCGCUCUGUUAUGUCGAGACAGCUAAUCUUGAUGGUGAAACCAACCUCAAAAUUCGUCAAGGUCUGCCCCAGACGUCAAACCUUCUGGAAGCACGAGAUCUGAUGAAUUUGUCUGGUAAAGUUGAGUGUGAGGCACCUAACAGAUUCCUCUACCAAUUUACCGGCAACCUCAAGCAGACAAGUCGCCCGGGUGUCAUGGAGGAUACUAAUGGGGUACUGUAUCAGGAAGAAAUGUUUAUAUGGGAUGAGGAAGAACAAGAAAAAGCCACUCCUCUGAGCCCCGACCACGUGUUGCUACGAGGGGCAAAGUUACAGAACACCAACUGGGUGUUUGGGCUGGUGGUGUACACAGGACACGAGACCAAACUUAUGAAGAACUCCGCUACCUCAGCUCCUCUUAAGCGCUCUACAGUGGACAAGCAGACCAACAACCUGAUCAUCCUACUGUUCUUCUUGUUGAUCGUCCUCUGCCUGAUCAUGGCCGUGUGUAACUCACAGUGGGACGCUAAACUCCACUGGUACCUCUCCAUUGAUGACUUGAGUGUGUUCAACUUUGGCAUUAACUUCAUCACAUUUAUCAUCCUGUUCAACAAUCUUAUUCCAAUAUCCCUCCAAGUGUCUCUAGAAGUUGUCAGGUUUAUUCAGGCUGGGUUCAUCAACAAUGAUACCAAUAUGGUGUAUGAGGAAAACGACAUCUGGGCCAUGGCCAGAACGUCUAACCUGAACGAAGAGUUGGGCAUGAUCAAGUACGUUCUCUCUGACAAGACCGGCACGCUCACUUGCAACAUCAUGGAGUUCAAGCGCUGUAGCAUCGGUGGAACUGUCUACAGCAUGGAUGAUGGCAGUUGUCAAGAUCUGGUCACCUUGGUGGAGAGCGGAGGAGCUGGAGCAUCUGUGGCCCGGCAGUUCCUCACCAUGCUGGGAGUGUGCCAUACUGUCAUCCCCGACAGAGAUGAGUCUCGUGGGGACGGCUCCAUCAUCUACCACGCAGCAUCACCAGAUGAGCGAGCGCUAGUGGAAGGCGCACGGGAGUUGGGCUUUGUUUUUGAGACGAGAACGCCAGAAUGCUGUAUAAUUGAUGUUUUGGGCUCCAAGGAACAGUACGAAGUCCUCAACGUGCUGGAGUUUACUUCUGCACGCAAACGGAUGAGCGUCAUCGUGAAGACUCCUGACGGCCAGAUCAAGUUAUACUGCAAAGGUGCUGACACGGUAAUCUAUGAACGUUUAGGUGACAGUCAACAGUUCCGUGACUUAACGGUGAGACACUUGGAAGAGUUUGCAGCAGAAGGUUUACGAACUCUCUGCUACGCUGUUGCCGACAUAUCACCAGAGUUUUAUGAGGAGUGGAAAAAUACGUACUAUAAGGCCAGUACAGCGCUGCAAUUCCGAGAAAGAAAAUUAGAAGACGCAGCUCAGCUUAUAGAGAACAACCUUACGUUAUUAGGAGCUACCGCAAUAGAAGACAGACUCCAGGAUGAGGUGCCAGAGACCAUAGCAGCUCUGCUUAAGGCGGGGAUCCAUGUGUGGGUCCUCACUGGAGACAAGCAGGAGACAGCCAUUAAUAUAGGUCAUUCGUGCCAUCUGCUGAAUCAGGGCAUGCCGCUUAUCAUACUCAACACAGAAUCUCUAGAUGAAACUCGAGAUGCUAUUAACCGCCAUGUGGUCGAAUUUGGUGAGCAGCUGAAGCGCGAGAACGAAGCUGCCUUGAUUAUCGAUGGAAAGACACUCAUUUAUGCUCUCACUCCUGAUUUACGGAAGGACUUCUUAGAUCUCUGUAUAUCUUGCAAGAGUGUUAUAUGCUGCAGAGUGUCACCUAGUCAGAAAGCUGAAGUAGUUGAAUUAUUGACUCGUGAAACGGGCUCAGUCACACUUGCCAUUGGUGACGGAGCUAACGACGUGGCCAUGAUUCAGAAAGCCAACGUGGGUGUUGGCAUUGCUGGACUGGAAGGUCUUCAGGCUGCAUGUGCCUCAGACUAUGCUAUUGGUCAGUUUCGUUUCCUGGCGAGAUUGUUGUUUGUGCAUGGAGCUUGGAACUACAGUCGCCUCUGCAAAGUCAUCUUAUAUAGCUUUUACAAGAAUAUUUGUCUGUAUGUCAUUGAGCUGUGGUGGGCGGCCAUGUCCGGAUGGUCGGGUCAGGUGUUGUUUGAGCGAUGGAGUAUAGCCAUGUAUAAUGUGCUAUUCACCGCUGCUCCUCCCUUGGUGAUGGGGAUAUUUGACCGGUCGUGUAGCGCAGAGACGAGGAUGAAGUACCCGGAGCUGUACCGUGAAUCACAGAGUGGAUCACAUUUUAACUGGAAGGUGUUUGUGUGGUGGGUUUGGCUGGCGCUGGUACAUUCAGUUUUGGUAUUUGUCCUGCCCUAUCUGUCCAUGACCCAAGACGUAGCGUGGGGUCACGGUCGCGUAGGAGGUUACCUCAUGACGGGCAAUAUGGUGUACACCUACGUAGUUAUCACCGUCUGCCUUAAAGCAGGUCUGGAGACCGACGCAUGGACGUGGGUCACGCACCUCGCCAUCUGGGGCUCCAUUGCUUCAUGGUUUAUUUUCCUGCUGGUGUAUUCAAACUUUUGGCCGAUUCUGCCCAUGGCUCCUGACAUGUGUGGUAUUUAUCUGCAGGUCUAUUCAUCUCCGGUCUUUUGGUUCGGAGUGAUCCUCAUACCAUUGGCUUGCCUCUUACCAGAUAUAGUUGUCAAAACAAUACGUAACUCGAUCUGCAAGAGUUUAACAGAACAAGUGCGUGAGAGUGAGAUUAGCAACAAGGAUGUUUCCAAAGUUCUAGACACCAAGCACAGGCUCACCGAAACUGCUCGGCUGUUGAAGAAUGUUUUCCGACGCACUACCACACGCGUCAAUCUGGAAGUAGAGCUUGCCCCCACAAGUACCAAGGUGUCCUGGGUUUCCAACCUGAAGACUUGGUAUGCAACAUCACAUGAGCCACCUAGUAGAGGGCAUUGGUUUGUAAUGCAAGUCAAUGAUGGACAUCAACCAAAAUAUAUGGGUACGCAUUCUCUCAAGAGGAACAUGGAGUCAUGGGUCAAUCAGAAGUGAUUCGAGCAUAUGACACAACACAGCCAAAGCCGGGCGGCAUGUAAGGUUUACCAGGGAGUACGACACAUCUCCUGCCAAAGUCAAAUUGUAACCCUUAGCACUGAUGUGGUGCAGCAGCAAGAGUCAGGGCACAGUUGUAGGCAAGUAUACACCGUCAGAUAAAUAAAUUAACACCUAAUUGCACUCUUACUAUAUAUUACUGAUUUUUAAAUAGAAAAAAGGGAACGAUUGACUCUUUAGGUAGGUUUUGUAAUUUUGAAGUGUUUGGAAUUCUUACAAGCAGUACUGUUCAAAUCAGUUCUAGUCAAAAGGUAUUAUUAACAUAAAAAAACUCACAAGUAUUAGUUUGCAUUAUAGAGCAAAACAUUUUUACUUAUACUGUAUAUCGCUGUAAAGAAUUUGUUUUGGCAACACUAACACUUGUUUAUUAUUAUUGUUAUCAUUAUCAUUUGUGUAAGAACAUCCAGUACAAUGUAAUAUUUUGUACUUAAUGAUAUAGUACACUGUAUUGUUAAAGAAUGAAAUACUCCUAAUGAAGAAAUCUUAUAAAGUGAAUAAAGGAUAUCAGUUUAUAAUAUUAAUUCUAGUUACUGGGUUCUGUGGGCAGUUAAUGUGAUCCAAAUGAUGAAUAAUCUAGUCCAGUACUUUCUGACUUUUUACAUGUCGGCGUAAAUCUGUUCAAGCAUUCAGAUGGCAAUGUCUAGAGUCACCAGUGAAGCCUGUACAAUUUACUACCUUGAGUAUGUGUGUAUAUAUAUAUAUAUAUAUAUAUAUAUAUAUAUAUAUAUAUAUAUAUAUAUAUAUAUAUAUAUAUAUAUAUAUAUAUAUAUAUAUAUAUAUAUAUAUAUAUAUAUAUAUAUAUAUAUUAAAAUAUUAAUUUAAAGGUCACAGUAAGUAAGUGUUACAAUAGUAAAGUAGUAUUUAAGUCAGAGUUAGGAUAACAAAAAUGCUAAUUUCCUACAAGUAAGUAACUGAACACUCCAUCCUUACAUUUAGUACUGUCAGUAUCAGUUAUUAACAAGAAGAGUGGUGACUGCGGCCCUCGCCCAGCCUCAUGUAAGUGUGAAUUUUCUUUAUGCGUUGACCUUCCCUGAUGAAGGCCACAGCUUUUAAGGCUAGAUGUGUGAUGUUCAGCUGAUUUGUCAUAGUUACUUUGUGCUGAGUUCAAACUGUCUAAGGUGUGUCACAUGUUGAACCCCCAUCCUCAUGUUAAAUCACAGUAUGUUCAAAGAGCUUUAAUAUGUCCAUGGAAGCUUUUAAUUAACUUUUAUCUUUUACGGUGCAUUAGUCAGUGUGUUAGCUGUACUGGCAGUGAUUUACAUGUCCAAUGGUGUAACAUCAUCUGUUGAUAUUAUUGUGUACAAGUUCAAAGUUAAUGGAAAACUGUCACAUAAUAUCAUGUUCUGGUAAUAAGUAUAUGUACUGUAUACCAAAGUGAAAUGUUUGUGAUGAAACAUAGAGAAAAUUUACAGCAAGUUAAAGAACAGAAAGAAGAAUGGUGGAAAAGUUGACAGAGAUUUAAGGAUUACAGAUGAACCAGGGACAGUGAGUGAUGAUGUUGAAGUAGAAGUACUGUAAAGUAUUGAUGUUGAUGUCUGUUGAGAGAGUGGGGCACACAACUCGUUAAGACUAUUAUGUGUAUGAACCUGGUGGUGUGGCAAAACAAAUCUCUCUGAAUGUACAAUCAUAAUGGCAUUCUAGUAACAGUAAGUUAUUAUGGAUCUUGUUAGUCUUGGUGAAUUAGUCAGAACAUAUUAUAAUGUAUAGUUAUUCUUAUGUUCAUAUUCAUCAUAUACUAUAUUUCAUGUUUUGUUUUGUUUUAUAACUGUAUUUCAUCGUGGAUAACUUGCUAUUUUGGGAUACAUCAGAGCAGCAAGUGACAUGGUGAAUUAUAGCACUCUUGAGUAAUGGUUCAUUUUAGGGGUCAUCAUAUGCAUGUUGAAUUGCAUGGAGUGUAGUGAAAAUUUUUAUCUUAAAAUAAAUUUCACUUCAUCCUCUACCAUACUGUUCAGAACUAACACUGUAUAUAUAUUGGGUAUUUGUUCUAAGGUAAACUGUUAUUAAGGUGGAGCUUCCUUUAUUGAAGUGACUCUCAUAGAUUGUAUUGAUGUUACAGUUGAAUUUUAUAGUCUAUGAAUGAUCUGUACUACUGCCUCCUAAAGUUCUGACAGAGGUGAAGGUUGUGGACUUACAGGUGUUUUGGACUGUGAGUGGAAUUGAUGGAUGUGGAGACAAUUUGUAAUCUCUGUCAGGCCAGUCAUGUGUAAGCAUAACUUUAUAUAACUUGUUAGUACAGUCCUGAGCAGUGAUAGGCUCAGUAUGGUAGUUAGUAUACUUGUAAUCUACCUUAGGAUAUAUAAAAAUGCACACAGUGGGAGUGGCACAGCUUGUAUGUUAAAAGAAAGAUUGGCACUGUGUCUUCUUAAUAGGGUGCUCCCAUUGACAACCUUGUACAUAAGACUUAAUGAUGAUUUAUGAUCAGCUGAGAAGACUGAAUAUUUUGAGUAAAGUAAAUUUAAUCAAUAAUUUCCUAUGGAUGCUGGUUGUUGUGAGUCAUAGGGUGAAAGGAACUAACUUGGGCAACAUUUUCCUCCUACAAUGUUGAAUGGGCAGCCCUACGGCAAAGUGAUGUUACAUCACUUAAGGGGUAUAUAACUUGACCAAGCUGGAGUGCACCAUAACACCAUCUGCCAGUUCUCAACAUCUGUGGGUUCAAACCUGCCUAUGAGGGAAGAGAAGCACUCAGUACCUAUAUGGUGAUGUAGCUUAAUGAAAGAUGAAUAUUUAAACAAUUGGAAAGCUUAUAGAAUGCUAAUAAUUUUGUGUUAUUAUUUCUCUUAUCUUUUUAUGCUAUAUAUACCCUCAAUUUUGUUUGCAAAUCUUUGAAACACAAAAUGCUAUCAAAUUAUAUUGUUGCUGUAAAACCUGAUAUUAUUUAUUAUGAAAGUAGCAUUUGUUUAAAUCUACAUUCUUACAGGAAUUGUUACCACAUUCCUAACCUUGACCUGAAGCACCUUAGAGUUUUAGGAUGACUCGGCACUUACAAGUAACUACGUCCUUUUUAUUUAGUCAUCUGCAGUACAGUAUAGUCUAGCUGUGUUCUUUGUAGAGGAUUAAUUUGGCCUAGUGAAAAUUAUUUUGUAUUUUAGGUUAUUACAUAUUUAUAUUGCCCAGAGCUGUGUGAAAAAUCUUACGUAAUUGAAGUUAAGAAUAUCAUCAGACACAAUGUAUAAUGAUGUCAUGUAGACCUUUUGUCCUCCAUUGCUGAAUUUCAAAAAUAUUGUGAGAAUUUUGUAAUCUUUCUUGUAUUGAGUUUAAGGAGUAAAUGUCUGACAAGGAUAAAAUGCUCUGACUAUAGUGGUUGAACAUAUUAUAUUCAUUUGACUCAUGUGGUCAUCAAUAAGGCACCAUAUGUCACUAUUCUCCACUAGUUAAGCCACUUGGAUAGUACAUAAAUCAGUAAUGGAAGUUAGACUCACAUGUGCCUAUAGAGAUGACAGUGAUAUAUGAUUGGAUCUAUCAGCUUAUGAGAGUUUUGCAGUUGAGACACUGAACUUUCUUAGAUUGUUCCUUUUCAUAGAGGAGUCUGAUACCAUAUGUAUUUGUGUAUUGUAAGGUGUAGUUCAAGCAGCCGUUUCCUAAAGUGCAACGUGAAUGGCAAAUAUGAAGUUACGAAACAUUCCUUAUCUUCGUUCAUCACAGAGUUAACACCGAUGCCUAUUUGUAUUUUGCAGUGUACGGAAAACAGAUGAAUCAUUUAAAGAUACAUAUAUUUUGCUUACAGUUUUAUUACAGUAACCACCUGUCAUAAUAAAGUACUGAAUAUCUAAUAAGUACAUAUGAUACACAGCUCAUGGAUCCCCCAAGAACAAAUGUCUGUAUCAAUUUUAACAAUAACCUUCACUUGUAGUUCUCAUGCCUGCGGAUGAAACAUUUUUCUCAUAGGCAGUUUCAAUGUGGUGUGAUAUAUGACUUACGUUAGUGUUGUAUAGUACUGGUGGAUGUCUGUCAAUGUGCGACACUGUACUGUGGCUCAUGUUCUGACCUGUAAUCUUGUAUUCUUCUACAACUGUGGAAUGUAUUUUGUCAAAGUCAUUAUUUCACCCUGGAGAUGUAUUGUGUACAGCCAAGUUCAAUGUACAUGCAAUGAUUAAAUUUGUGACCAAGUUCACAAGCCAGAACCAGUAUCGUGCUCUCGGUUCCAUACCAUGAGGAGUACAGUAUCAAGAGGACAAGCUUGCUGAAGCAAAUGUUGUAUUUCAAAUUUUAUCAGAUAAAUUUUUAUUAUGUUAUGUGAAGCUUAUGUGUUAUGAUACACUGUACAUCAUCAGGGACUGGUUAAAGAUGUCUCGUCUCUUCAGUAUGUUGGAGGAAAUGUAGGGAAGGCAGUAAAGGAUGGCCAGCUAACAUUCUACAAAUCUUAACUUACUCAUUAUGGAUAAAAUGAUUUAUUCAACCAGGCUGCAUUUAGACCAUCUAGAAUUAUCCGACUUGAGUUUUUGUUAAUGCAUCUGUAUACAAUUUCUGCAGGUUAUUUUAAAAAUGGUGUAUUUUUCCUCUUCCCUUGCUGUUGUAUGUGUGUGUCUGUGUGUAUGCAUGUCAGUAUGUAUAUGAGACAGUCAUCUAUGACUCCAGCUGUCCUGUGCGUCUUUCAACCAUUUUGUGUAAUAAUUGGGAACUGAAGAUCAAACUGUUUCUUGCUCCAAUGCCCACAGUUCUUUGAGAUGAAUUGUCAAACUUAUGCAUAAAAAAUGAUAGAUAGAUUUGUCACCAAACUGGGUUUAUUUCAUUCAUUAUCUUUGAUAUCACACAAUUAAAAUGUAUGGGCCAUCAGGAUCCUGUCAAAAACAACACCUAAAAUAAAUGUAAAAAAAAUAAAGACUUCACUCGGUAUUGAUUGAGUUUAACUACCUAAGAAAGGUUUUUUCUUUUUGCAUAAUAAACUGAAUGUGUACUACAAUGAUUUCCAAUUUUAGUUCUUCAAUUAGAUUUAUCUGUAUUAAUAUUUACUUUAGAGUAUGGUAUAUGGCAAGAUGUACAAAUAUUCUUGCAUUGUACAGUUCAUGAAUGAAAAACUCUUCAUGAAUGAUGCUGUUAAAUUGUGAAGCUUCAUUUAAUAUUUUUGUAACAUUCAACUUGUUCAAUAUAUUUGGGCAGGUCUCAAUAUUGUGUUGUGCAUGUACUGAAGAAAUUAUCAUUACAUGGUUAUAAAUCUAA